rnacentral:rRNA from 1 species
UGGGGAAUAAUGCACAAUGGGCGCAAGCCUGAUGCAGCCAUGCCGCGUGUAUGAAGAAGGCCUUCGGGUUGUAAAGUACUUUCAGCGAGGAGGAAGGCGUUGUGGUUAAUAACCGCAACGAUUGACGUUACUCGCAGAAGAAGCACCGGCUAACUCCGUGCCAGCAGCCGCGGUAAUACGGAGGGUGCAAGCGUUAAUCGGAAUUACUGGGCGUAAAGCGCACGCAGGCGGUCUGUCAAGUCGGAUGUGAAAUCCCCGGGCUCAACCUGGGAACUGCAUCCGAAACUGGGAGGCUAGAGUCUUGUAGAGGGGGGUAGAAUUCCAGGUGUAGCGGUGAAAUGCGUAGAGAUCUGGAGGAAUACCGGUGGCGAAGGCGGCCCCCUGGACAAAGACUGACGCUAAGGUGCGAAAGCGUGGGGAGCAAACA